AUGUAGCACAAGUGAUUUAGCUACAUAGUAGUGACCAGAGAUACAAUACAUAACACACAAUAGUGCUAAUUUAUGUUGAUUUUAUUAAAAUUCAUAAUUUAUCUGAUUACAAAACAAGAAGAAAAAAUAUUUCUGGAAAGAAAGAAACGAAAAGAAAUUUUGUAUGUGUUUUAAUUUAUUUUUGAGUUUUUCAUCUGGUUACAUCAUGCAUGUGAAAAUAGGGUACUGCCCCUUUAAGCCUGCUCUUUCUAGAACGUGCUCUCGGGCCGUGGGAGAAUCGAAUCCUCCAUUUUGAGAAGAGCGUUAGAGCAGAACUCCUGUGGGUAAUGCGUCAGAACAUUGUUAUUUUGAAAGCAAAAAUUUGAUAAAAGACAUCACUAAACAAGGAUUUGGUCAGUUUUUUUUUUCCUGUGGAAACAAUGUCUGGAUAUUUCCUUUGAUGGCGAGCCCCCCAUGGAUCUGGACACUGGAUGAUC